GCACUGCUUAGAGGUGGAAAAAUCAAAUGUAGAGUGUGGUUGUGAAAACCCUUGAUGUGUUUCACCAAGCAGGACAGCCAAGCCCUGACCCCCAUCCUCUGGGAGAGGAGACCCUUCAUCAGGGGUG